CAACUGAGGUGCAAGGGCUGUCGCUGACCCUUCAAGGGUCGUGCACGCCCAAGCUCUCUCACACAUCCAUCUCACCCCUUUGUGCAUCACCGCGUGGGCCCCCCUUUGCAGGAGGGCUUGCGUUUUCACAUAAAACUUGAUACAGUGUAGAAUGUUUUUUCUUUUGCGGUCACACGCAAUCAAUACAACUUUCAACAACGGAUCUCUUGGCUCUCGCAUCGAUGAAGAACGCAGCGAAAUGCGAUACGUAAUGUGAAUUGCAGAAUUCAGUGAAUCAUCGAAUCUUUGAACGCACCUUGCGCCCCUUGGCAUUCCGAGGGGCACACCCGUUUGAGUGUCGUGAAAUCAUCAAAACCUUUUCUUUGAUCCUUUUUGGUCAGGAAAAGGAUUUUUGGACUUGGAGGUUCCAUGCUUGCUUUUGCUUAUGAAAGUGAGCUCCUCUCAAAUAAAUUAGUGGGGUCUGCUUUGCUGAUCCUUGAUGUGAUAAGAUGUUUCUACAUUUUGGAUUUAGCACUGUCCCUUGGACGCCUGCUCCUAACUGUCUUUUGGACAAUGAUGGUGCUUCGGUUGGCGGCAUUUAUGGUGGCCGGA
rnacentral:rRNA from 1 species